ACUAUUGGCCAUACUACCCUGAAUAUGCCUGACCUCAGAAGCUAAGCAGGACUGGAUGGGAGACAGUUUAUUUGUUUUAGGCUGUGUUGUGAAAUAGUA
ensembl:rRNA 5S_rRNA 5S ribosomal RNA